rnacentral:lncRNA from 1 species
AAAAGCUCGGGACCCUACUCUGGACCAAUGUCUUGGUCCUAAUCCAGCCCUUGAAUUACGGGGACCCUGGAAACUAAACUCAGACUUUCAGUACAGCUUCCCUUAACAGGUGCUGAGAGACAUAGUGGGAAAGGGGCCUGGACUCAUUGGAGGGGGCACGGGACAGGUGAUUGUCAUUUUGAGCUGGCUGGUGUUGGCAGGAAGGAUGGAGCCAACGUGCAGGGGGCUGGGGGGAGCAGGCUUGGCCCCCACCCCUCAGAUCGAGCACGCAAUUGGCGCUUGUGGCGCGAGAGCCGCACAACAGAGCUCUCAGCCUCCCUCCAACAGGUCCCUGCAAGUCCAGGGAAUGUUCUACCCUCAUUGUUAGGGUGUUUUGCCAAUGACAUACCAAAGUCUUUGAAAAUCCCCCUUGUUGAUUGAAACUGUGGGCUGGAAGUCAACAAAUACUUUAAUUAGUCAGAGGGACUAAAAAAGGAUAUACAGCAAAAACCUCUGUGCUCUGUUUUCUCAUGAAGGGCGGUUUUAUUUUUCUUUUAAUAAACCCUCAUCUAGGAUUUACCCUGUGCCAGACACUGUCCGACAAACGCGGCAUCUAUGAAUCUAAAAGCGCAAAUGAGCAAUGAAGGGCUUUUCCCAUUUUCUCGGCAUGUGCUUUGGUCUUUACAUAUGGCUGUGGUUGUGCCUGGUCCUUUGAGAGUUUGCAGGAUUUCUCUACCAUGGAGAGGCGGGGAGGCGAGUUAUCUAUACCAGGCUUCCAUCCUAUGGGGUCAGAGUCAUGCAAGAAAGCCUUUUCACAUUCUUAAUCUACCCCACUUUUUUUUUUUUCUGCUCUGUUUUACCCCCAGCACAGUAAAGGCAUCCAGGGAUGACAAGACAGAGGUAGAGACAGAAGCUACCCUUUUCGAGUGGCUGCUUGAUGUCCUGCAGAGAUAAGGGCAAGGCACAGGGGACAGGGUCUUGUUUCCAUCUCCCAGAGGGUGAGCUCCCAUCACUGGGGCGUGAGUCAGUACAGACAGAGAUGCUACAAAGGGGAAGAAAACAAAGAGACGGCGUGCGGAGGCUGAAGAAGUUAUCUCUCCCAGGGCCGGUCUCAGGGAACACGCCCAGAGUUUUGGACAGUCCUGGACGCCAGCGGACGCCUCCCAGGCCAGCCACACCCUCUGCACGUGCCCACAGCUCCUCUGCAUCCCAUAGGCACCCAGGCUGCUGGCCUCACUCCCUGUCCGCUGGGACCACCAGGCACUGUCCUCAUGGAAACAGGAAAACUCAGUUCCCACAAGCCGUCCCAGAUGAGCCUUGGCCAGACUUGCCUCUGAGAAUCUUCUGACUCUGAUUCCACCCCCACUCUCCUUCUGCCUGGCCGCUGCCCUGCACUGCCUCGCCUGGACCCCAGCAACAGCCCACACAUGUGUCAUUAGAGGCUGCGAGUCUCAGCCCCCCUUGGAGACCCCCUUCCCCAGGCCAGUGUGCAAGGAGGCCGAUGUGUAUCCAGGGGGUGGCUGCUUAUGGUUGAUGUGCUUUGUUGUGGUUUGUUUUGUAUUGCUUUUCAGGGCCACACCCGAAGCAUAUGGAAGUUCCUGGGGUAGGGAUCGAAUCAGAGCUGCAGCUGCCAAGCUACACCACAACCAUGGCAAUGUGGGAUCCGAGCCACAUCUACAAACUACAACACAG